CAGGAUUAGAUACCNUGGUAGUCCACGCCGUAAACGAUGAGUGCUAGGUGUUAGGCCCUUUCCGUGGCUUAGUGCCGGAGCUAACGCAAUAAGCACUCCGCCUGGGGAGUACGACCGCAAGGUUGAAACUCAAAGGAAUUGACGGGGGCCCGCACAAGCGGUGGAGCAUGUGGUUUAAUUCGAAGCAACGCGAAGAACCUUACCAGGUCUUGACAUCCCGAUGCUAUUCUUAGAGAUAGGAAGUUACUUCGGUACAUCGGAGACAGGUGGUGCAUGGUUGUCGUCAGCUCGUGUCGUGAGAUGUUGGGUUAAGUCCCGCAACGAGCGCAACCCUUAUUGUUAGUUGCCAUCAUUAAGUUGGGCACUCUAGCGAGACUGCCGGUAAUAAACCGGAGGAAGGUGGGGAUGACGUCAAAUCAUCAUGCCCCUUAUGACCUGGGCUACACACGUGCUACAAUGGUCGGUACAACGAGUUGCGAGCCGGUGACGGCAAGCUAAUCUCUGAAAGCCGAUCUCAGUUCGGAUUGGAGGCUGCAACUCGCCUCCAUGAAGUCGGAAUCGCUAGUAAUCGCGGAUCAGCACGCCGCGGUGAAUACGUUCCCGGGCCUUGUACACACCGC
rnacentral:rRNA from 1 species